GUGGAGAUUGGCUAAAAGAAACUAGGAUUUUCUAGAGUUAUAGAAAAUGAAACGAUUUAUUUUAAUAUAUAUUAGAAUUGAAUUGUAAAUUAAAUUUUGGUUUAGUAUUGUGAUUAAGUGGCUAAGGUUGGACAUGUAAAUGGUAAACCAAAAUUAACUAUGGUUUUAUGUUCAAAUUGAUUUUAAGUAUGAAUAUAUGUCUAUGUAAGUUUUCAACUUUUAUUCCGAGUAAAAAGAUGUUUUAAACAUUUAUUUGAUUGAAAAAUAAAAUAAAGCAUACUUUUGUAGAUAUAGUGGUAUAUGAAAGUUUAGAGGAGAAAAUAGAUCUUAAUUCGAGUUUUAUCAUAUAUAAAUUUGUUAGUACAAAAUAAGAAUUAGAUACACUUUA
rnacentral:lncRNA from 1 species